AACGAACGCUGGCGGCAUGCCUAACACAUGCAAGUCGAACGAGACCUUCCGGUCUAGUGGCGCACGGGUGCGUACCACCUGGGAACCUGCCCUUAGGUUCGGAAUCCCUCCCCUUAAGGGGUGCUAAUACCGGUUAAUGUCUUCGGACCUAAGAUUUAUCGCCUUUGGAUGGGGCCGGGUUGGAUUGGCUAGUUGGUAGGGUAAAAGCAUGCCAAGGCUACGAUCCAGGGCUGGUCUGAGCGGAUGCUAUGCCACAAUGGGACUGAGACACGGCCCAGACUCGUACGGAAGGGAGCAGUGUGGAAUAUUGGACAAGGGGCGAAAGCCUGAUACAGCAAUGCCGCGUGAGUGAUGCAGGCCGUAGGGUUGUAAAGCUCUUUUACCCGGGAUGAUAAUGACAGUACCGGGAGAAUAAGCUCCGGCUAACUACGUG
rnacentral:rRNA from 1 species